AGCUUUAAAAACUAAGAUAAAUCACGAUUGGUAGUAUUUAAGAUUGUAGAUGGAAAUUAAAGCUAAAGUCACUUCCUACAACCCAACCAAUCACCCCCUUUAUCUCUCAAACGAGACGAAAAACUCCAAUUAAAUCCACUUCCACCUAGACUUACCAAGAAUCACUAUAAAGCUAAAUUAAGCUGGAUGAGAGAACCAAAAAGAAAAAGAAAGAAAAAGAUUGAUUUUACAAAAUUCCUUUUACUAGACAAAGCAGUAAUCUACAAGUUAGUUAGUAUAG
rnacentral:lncRNA from 1 species